rnacentral:rRNA from 1 species
CAAUAGCGUAUAUUUAAGUUGUUGCAGUUAAAAAGCUCGUAGUUGGAUUUCGGAUGGGACUUGCCGGUCCGUCGUUGCGAUGUGCACUGGCCAGUCCUAUCUUGUUGUCGGGGACUAGCUCUUGGUCUUCACUGGCCGGGACUAGGAGCUGACGAGGUUACUUUGAGUAAAUUAGAGUGUUCAAAGCAAGCCUACGCUCUGAAUACAUUAGCAUGGAAUAACACGAUAGGACUCUGGCUUAUCUUGUUGGUCUGUGAGACCAGAGUAAUGAUUAAGAGGGACAGUCGGGGACAUUCGUAUUUCAUUGUCAGAGGUGAAAUUCUUGGAUUUAUGAAAGACGAACUUCUGCGAAGGCAUUUGUCAAGGAUGUUUUCAUUA